rnacentral:rRNA from 1 species
GUUUGAUCAUGGCUCAGAUUGAACGCUGGCGGCAGGCCUAACACAUGCAAGUCGAACGGCAGCACAGAAGAGCUUGCUCUUUGGGUGGCGAGUGGCGGACGGGUGAGUAACACGUAGGAAUCUACCCAGUAGUGGGGGAUAACCUGGGGAAACCCAGGCUAAUACCGCAUACGCCCUGAGGGGGAAAGCGGGGGAUCUUCGGACCUCGCGCUAUUGGAUGAGCCUGCGUCGGAUUAGCUGGUGGGGUAAGGGCUCACCAAGGCGACGAUCCGUAGCUGGUCUGAGAGGAUGACCAGUCACACCGGAACUGAGACACGGUCCGGACUCCUACGGGAGGCAGCAGUGGGGAAUAUUGGACAAUGGGCGCAAGCCUGAUCCAGCCAUGCCGCGUGGGUGAAGAAGGCCU